UUUUUUUUUUUUUUAUUCUUUUGAGUAGAUUUGAAGAGUUCUUUAUGGUCUAUUUUCAGAAAUGCAUAAUUGUCCAUAAUCUAAGCUUUUUGUAUUUUGCUUCUGUGUGUGUUUGUGGCCUAUGUUAAUAAUUUUGUAAUUUUUGAUCUGGUUUUGGUUUUCUUAGGUCCUAAACUGUUUAAGGAGCCCAGUAGCAAAUCAAACAAACCAAUUAUUCACAACGCCAUCUCCCACUGCUGUCUGGCUGGAAAAGUGAAUGAACCUCACAAGAAUUCAAUAUUGGAGGAGCUGGAGAAGUGUGACGCCAACCACUAUAUCAUCCUGUUCCGAGACGCCGGCUGCCAGUUCAGGGCUCUUUACUGCUACCAGCCCGACACUGAAGAGAUCUACAAACUCACUGGCACGGGGCCCAAGAGCAUCACCAAGAAGAUGAUUGACAAACUGUAUAAAUACAG
rnacentral:lncRNA from 1 species